ACUUUUCCUAAAAUCCCUCCAAAAAUCAGUGAACUGCAAGCAGGGAAACUCACAGAUGCUCAUCCACCUAUUUUGUAUGGUGUGGGUGUUUUGUUUGUUUUGUUUUGUUUUUUAAACUAAGCUUGAACCAAAGUCAAUUCUUAGCAAGCUGCUGUACUAAUGGACUAAUGGUUAUAAUGUGCAGUUCAAACACAGUGAGGAGAUAGAUGCUACUGACAAUUCUUACUCAUUUUUCUUGAUUAAUUUUAUGUGAAAGUUGCUGCUUGUUUUUAUCUUUUAUGUUGGUAAAUUGUAAUAUCCUCUGGGCAGACAUUACCUUGAUUUUAGCUAGUUUGUUUAAGUCAGUGUGUAAAUAGGAUGGCGUGCCAGUUACUACUUCUCCCCUCCCCACCAGCCUUUCUCUCUUGUUAAUUUAAUGUUUUCUCUUGACUUAACACUCUAAUCUUAGUCUGCAUGUGGUUUUAGGCCUGUCAAUACUGUUUCUGCCCUAGCAGAGAGUCCCUCCCUUGGGAGUGAGGAGGUUAGGAAGAAUUCAGGGAGAGAAAUGCUGAUUACCUACCAGACAGAUUAGCAGUUAUAGCAUUAAUUUCCAGAAUUGCUACCAAAGGAAGUAGAGAGUCCCAAGAGGCUCUGGCCCGGGGACUAAGGAGGACAGAGGGACUGUUUUGUCAUACGUGGUUAAAAGGAUCUUUUUCCCAAAUAAGAGUCCCCUACAGACUUUGAUUUUAAAAAUGAUACUAAGUUUUAUGUUUUUGUCAAUCCUUCCUCUGUAGUCUCUAGUGGGUUUGAGAAAGGAUUGCUGCCUUUUUAUGUAGUUAAUUUUUUGAGGAUAGACUUUAAAACCAGCAUAAAUACUGUAUUGAGAAGAAAAGGAUCUUUAGAUAAAGAUAACUUUAAUUUUUUCCUACCCUUUUUCAUGUGUUUAAAAUUAAAUUGUAAAAUGAAAGGUACUUUAUACAUAUGUAUACAUGAAACACUACUAAAGUUUUCUGGUGGGUGUUCAGGCUAAAAUACCUUCCGUGACCAUCCCUAAAUGGUCGUUAACCUACUAUACACAAACCCUUGGGUAGUUUUUACUUGAUACCAUUUUUUUUAAUGAUCUCAAAUGCUUUUUAAACUGACAACUGUCUUCUAAGGUAAAGUACUCAGACUUAAAGGUUCAGCUGCCUUUUAUGAAAGAAUGUAGAAACCAAAGAGGUUAUUUGACUAAAAGACACAUACAGUUGAGUUUCUACAGUUCCUGAGUAAACAGGUUGUUAAACCUGUUAGUUCAUUCUCCUUUUCUUCCCCUUGAUAUUUAUGCUUGCUUUAUUUCAUCCCUAAAUUUAGUUAACACAUAGUAAGCCAAAGACUAAUUCUAAAUACAUUUAGGGGAUACUAUAUUUGCCUGUGAUAAUGGGCCCUCCCUGGAGAGUAGUGAAUGUAAUUGUUUAAUCCUGUUUAAGCAAUGCAGUUUGGCAUAAACUUUAUUUAUUUCCUGUGUAAAUCUAAAUGACAACAGAAAAAUCUAUAAGGUUUCUCACAAGAGCAGUCUUACUGUUGUAGGAAUAGUAAGUGCUCUGUUACCUUGAAUGUCUCUGAAGCCCUAUAGGCAGCUCCAUAAAAUGAGGAAACAUUAUUCCUAGCCAUUUGCUUCCUUAAUGUGUUGUCAGAAAGGUCAGCCCCGUCCUGUGUCUGUAACUUGUUACUCCAAAAUGGAACCAAAGGAAUCCGGCUUUCAGCUUGUGGAGGACCAGCCUGUUUAUAUUCUCAUAAGCUUUAUUAGAAAUUGUUAAAGGGAUAUCAGUGAAAAGGUUUUAGGUGUGAUCAUCUUGCCAACAUGUUCUAUAUCAUCAUCCAUUUGUUUUAGGGAAAAAGCACAAUUAUACCUCUCUAAUAUUAUUGUGUCUAUUAUCUAUUCUUCAAUUAUUUGAAAAAUAGGGGAAAUAAUCUCUUCACUAUCCAGAAGCACAGGUUUUUGCUUGACAAUAUUUCAGUUCAGCUCAGUCAUUAUUAACAUUUAACUUGCUGGAAAUGCCAGGUACAUUUAUAAAUAUAGGGAUGUUAUGUAAGGAAAAAAUACUAUAGUUCCUAGUCUGAAGUUCUUCUUAAGCCAUGUCAUCCUCACAAAUCUUUCUUGACC
rnacentral:lncRNA from 1 species